rnacentral:rRNA from 1 species
AGGGUGUAAACGCUGCAGACUUGGUGUUGGAAGUCCUUUGGGGGCAUUCAGUGCCGGAGAGAAGUUGUUAAGUCUGCUACUUGGGGAGUACGUCCGCAAGGAUGAAACUUAAAGGAAUUGGCGGGGGGAGCACCGCAACGGGAGGAGCGUGCGGUUUAAUUGGAUUCAACACCGUAAAACUCACCAGGGAAGACUGUUACAUGAAAGCCGAGAUGAAGACUCUGCUAGAUUUUCAGAGAGGUGGUGCAUGGCGUCAGUGACU